GCCNNACAAGAGAACANGUNCACUGGUCGCAGCANCCUCGCCGGGUGAAGAUAGCGANAUCACUUGUUCUUUCANUGUGGMCUAGUAUGAAUGGNACCACGAAGGUUAUACUGUCUCCUACCNGCCAAUCAGUGAAACUAAUCUUCCCGUGAAGAAGCGGGAAUAACUCUAUAAGACGAGAAGACCCUAUGGAGCUUAAAACAACAUAGCAUKUGCUACACAACUUUUUAACUUCCGAGCACUUAACUUUUUAAGCAAUAUGUCUCUAAGUUUKUGGUUGGGGUGACCGCGGAGCAUAACACAACCUCCAUAUUGAAAGAACUUUUUCUAAGCUAAGAUCUACAAAUCUAAKCAUCAGUAWUCUGACAUUCAUUGACCCAAUAUAUUGAACAACGAACCAAGUUACCCUAGGGAUAACAGCGCAAUCCACUCCAAGAGCCCCUAUCGACAAGUGGGUUUACGACCUCGAUGGGUGGGAUCAGGGUAUCCCAGGGGGGCAGGCGCUAC
rnacentral:rRNA from 1 species